GUUUCCGCGGGCGCUCCGGUUUGUUGGCAAGUGCUGGGCUCGGCGUUUAGUGAUGUGUGCGAAUCAUUUUUGGGACCGUUACUUGGAGAGGCGUUAGCAAUACUAGUCGACUUGUUUGAUCGUCUUUCCAUGAAGAACCAGCUUGGAAAAGCGCAAGGAACAUCUGAUCUACGAAGAGGAUUUGGGUAAAGUAUGCCACUGUCAAUGGUGUAGCGAUGAAUGGAGGAAACUUUCCAGUGGACUUAAAUGGUACAGGAUGGCUAGAAAGCUAAGAAUAUUCUGACUGGCUGCCUGCCGAUGGAACUCAAUACAAGGAAAUUAAAAUCCUAACUUUUAUCAUUUAGUACGUAGUUCUUAUCUACGUCCUGGUUGCGGUUUAAAUAAGAGGUUGCUUAGAAUAUAAGAGGUUUUUUAGGUGAGAAGAGAGAAUUUCAUGGCAUCACGGGUUAUUAGUCACUGUUGAAACUGAUGUAAGACUAUUAAAAUAUAAUUCUUAUCCUAUUCACAUUCAAAACUAUAACUUGUUAAUAAAUUUUAGCUUAAC